AGCACAAACGUCGAUAUGUCAACUGUAAGUUGACUUUGCUAAGUCAGGCUUUUAGAGUCGACUGUAAGUCGAUUUUGUACAGACGUUCUUUCAAUGUCGACUUUAGGACGUCUAAUGCGAUUUACGCUCACAAAGCUUAAAUGUGGAAUCAUUUCGUCCUUGUUGUUUAAAUAUAGUUAAACAAGGGUGAAUGCUGUUCAAGGCAUGAAUCGGACCACAGUCUAGAAUGGUUAACUUAAAGUCAGCUUACAGUCGUCUUUAAACAUUAAACAUGGGACAUUGUAUAACUCAGAGACGUUCCAAGUCGUCUUAAGUCGACUUACGGACAUCCAUUUUCUAGACGUCCAGCAGGUAUAGUCGACUCAGAGUCGACUUUGUAUUGUUAGGACAACUGAGAUUUAUUAGACUGCGUUUCUAUUUCAGUAUCCAGUAGCCAUUUUGCUGGAUACUGUACUGAAGAAGCAUUCCCAAAUGAUACUGGCUAGUGAUGUACACUGCAGCCUCCUACGCGUUUGGUUCAUAACCUAAAAUUAUUCUAAUAAACGAGCGGAGCUGUAAGGGCGCUAGAGGGCGUGUUCCUUGGGUAGCGGAUGAGGGAAGCUCGGCGGACUCUUGAGUCCGCAGGGUUGGAAGGAAAUAAGAUAUUCUCCGUGAACCAACA